rnacentral:rRNA from 1 species
GAUGAACGCUGGCGGCGUGCCUAAUACAUGCAAGUCGAGCGAAUGGACGAGAAGCUUGCUUCUCUGAUGUUAGCGGCGGACGGGUGAGUAACACGUGGAUAACCUACCUAUAAGACUGGGAUAACUUCGGGAAACCGGAGCUAAUACCGGAUAAUAUUUUGAACCGCAUUGUUCAAAAGUGAAAGACGGUCUUGCUGUCACUUAUAGAUGGAUCCGCGCUGCAUUAUCUAGUUGGUAAGGUAACGGCUUACCAAGGCAACGAUGCAUAGCCGACCUGAGAGGGUGAUCGGCCACACUGCAACUUGGACACGGUCCAGACUCCUACGGGAGGCAGCAGUAGGGAAUCUUCCGCAAUGGGCGAAAGCCUGACGGAGCAACGCCGCGUGAGGGAUGAAGGUAUUCGGAUCGUAAAACUCUGUUAUUAGGGAAGAACAUAUGUGUAAGUAACUGUGCACAUCUUGACGGUACCUAAUCAGAAAGCCACGGCUAACUACGUG